CGGACGCAGUUGCGUGAGGGAUUCCUGCUGUCCUCAGUGCUGUGGAGCAGAGCUUGUUCCUCUCCAGCCCAGCCAUGCAGGUUGAAUUGACCAAAUCAAUGGUGAUGGAGAAGCCUAGUCCCCUGCUGGUCGGGCGGGAAUUUGUGAGACAGUAUUACACACUGCUGAACCAGGCUCCAGACAUGCUGCAUAGAUUUUAUGGAAAGAACUCGUCUUAUGUCCAUGGGGGACUGGAUUCAAACGGAAAGCCAGCAGAUGCAGUCUAUGGGCAGAAGGAAAUCCAUAGGAAAGUUAUGUCACAAAACUUCACCAACUGCCACACCAAGAUUCGCCAUGUUGAUGCUCAUGCCACUCUGAAUGAUGGUGUGGUGGUCCAGGUGAUGGGACUUCUCUCCAGUAAUAACCAGGCUUUGAGGAGGUUCAUGCAGACGUUUGUUCUUGCUCCUGAGGGCUCUGUUGCAAAUAAGUUCUAUGUUCACAAUGAUAUCUUCAGAUACCAAGAUGAGGUCUUUGGUGGCUUUGUCACUGAGCCUCAGGAGGAAUCUGAGGAAGAAGUAGAGGAACCUGAAGAAAGACAACAAACACCUGAGGUGGUACCUGAUGAUUCUGGAACUUUCUAUGAUCAGACUGUUGUCAGUAAUGACAUGGAAGAACAUUUAAAGGAGCCUGUUGCUGAGCCAGGGCCUGAGCCUGAACCAGAACCAGAGCAGGAACCUGUAUCUGAAAUCCAAGAGGAAAAGUCUGAGCCAGUUUUAGAAGAAACUUCUCCUGAGGAUGCUCAGAAGAGCUCUUCUCCUGCACCUGCAGACAUAGCUCAGACAGUGCAGGAAGACUUGAGGACGUUUUCUUGGGCAUCUGUGACCAGUAAGAACCUUCCACCCAGUGGAGCUCUUCUGGUUACUGGGAUACCACCUCAUGUUGUUAAAGUGCCAGCUUCACAGCCCCGUCAAGAGUCUAAGCCUGAAUCUCAGAUUCCACCACAGAGACCUCAGAGGGAUCAAAGAGUGCAAGAACAACGAAUAAAUAUUCCUCCCCAGAGGGGACCCAGACCAAUCCGGGAGUCUGGUGAGCAAGGCGAUGUUGAACCCCGAAGAAUUGUGUGACACCCGGACAGUCACCAGCUCUUUACUGGCAACCUGCCUCAUGAAGUGGACAAAGCAGAGCUGAAUGAUUUCUUUCAGAAUUAUGGGAAUGUUGUGAAGCUGCGCAUUAACAGCGGUGGGAAAUUACCCGAUUUUGGUUUUGUUGUGUUUGACGAUUCUGAACCUGUUCAAAAGGUCCUUAGCAACAGGCCUAUCAUGUUCAGAGGUGAGGUCCGUCUGAAUGUGAAAGAAAAGACGCGAGCUGCCAGGGAAGGAGACCGUCGAGAUAACCGCCUUCGGGGAUCUGGAGGCCCUCGAGGUGGGCUGGGUGGUGGAAUGAGAGGCCCUCCCCAUGGAGGCAUGGUGCAGAAACCAGGAUUUGGAGUGGGCCGGGGGAUCGCUCCACGGCAGUGA